UAUUAUAUUUAAUGUAAAUUAGUUACUAAGGUAGUAUAACAAAAUCUUGAAACCUAAAGAAUUUGGCGGUGUUUUAGUCUUUUCAGAGGAAUCUGUCCUGUAAUUGAUAAUACACGAUUUGUUUUACUUAAUUUUGUUAUCAGCUUAUAUACCGCCGUCAUAAGAUUAUUUUUUUAAAGAAUUGAAUAUUCUUAUUUUUGAAUUAUAAAAGAUGUCAGGUCAAGGUGUAGUUUAUAAUUAAGUAGAGAUGGAUUACAAUAAUAUUAAUUAUUAUGGAUAAUUUUUUAAAAUUGAAUUGAAGGUGGAUUUGAUUGUAAAUUUAUUAUAAUUUUUGAAUUGAUUUAAGCUCUGGAAUGUGUACAUAUCGCCCGUCGCUCUCGUUAAUAAAUGAG
rnacentral:rRNA from 1 species